UUAAUGAGCUUGAAAAGCAUUUGUUUUGAAAACAAAAUAUAGAAAUUAAAUUUUUCUAUUAACUUUACUAAAAUA
rnacentral:tRNA from 1 species